GCCUCGGUAGCGCAGUGGCAGCGUCAGUCUCAUAAUCCUGCAGCGAGUAAUUCAGAAGGUCGCUAGAUCUGAUCCUCACCUGGGGCAGCCGUUUUCAUUUAGAUGUUACAUCUUUUACCUGAUACUCUCUUGAUAAAACCACCGAAGCCUCGUAGCGAGUAGAAGGCGCGCGAUCUCAUAAUCACUCCACGGUAAUCUGAAGGUCGUGAGUUCGAUCCUCACCGCGCGGCA